rnacentral:misc_RNA from 1 species
GAAAUGCGAUACGUCAUGCGAAUUGCAAAACCAGUGAGUCAUCAAAACUUUGAACGCAACUUGCACUUCCCUUUGGGGAGUAUGUCUGUUGGAGUGCUUGUUCAUCCCCACCACAACCCACUAUCCCUAAUAAGAUGGUAGGAUGUGAAGACUGACUCUGCAUUCAUUUAAUUGAAUCCAGUGAUCAUAGAUGUAACAAAAAUCAAAUAUCCGAUCCCGAGUAGUUGUAAUCAGUAUCUUUUCGGAGAUAUACGACUCGAAGGAACGCGACGUCAAACUUCGGUUGAGAAUCGUGUUUCAUCAGUCUUAAUGAUUCCCCAAUUACCCAGUCUCGCUUAUUUUCGAUCGAGCCUCCAAUCAGUCAAGAAUACCCGCUGAAUUUAA